rnacentral:rRNA from 1 species
AUGCACGCUGGCGGCGUGCCUAAUCCAUGCAAGUCGAGCGAACAGACGAGGGGCUUGCUCCUCUGACGUUAGCGGCGGACGGGUGAGUAACACGUGGAUAACCUACCUAUAAGACUGGGAUAACUUCGGGAAACCGGAGCUAAUACCGGAUAAUAUAUUGAACCGCAUGGUUCAAUAGUGAAAGACGGUUUUGCUGUCACUUAUAGAUGGAUCCGCGCCGCAUUAGCUAGUUGGUAAGGUAACGGCUUACCAAGGCAACGAUGCGUAGCCGACCUGAGAGGGUGAUCGGCCACACUGGAACUGAGACACGGUCCAGACUCCUACGGGAGGCAGCAGUAGGGAAUCUUCCGCAAUGGGCGAAAGCUUGACGGAGCAACGCCGCGUGAGUGAUGAAGGUCUUCGGAUCGUAAAACUCUGUUAUUAGGGAAGAACAAAUGUGUAAGUAACUAUGCACGUCUUGACGGUACCUAAUCAGAAAGCCACGGCUAACUACGUG